GAUGAACGCUGGCGGCGUGCCUAAUACAUGCAAGUCGAGCGAACAGAUAAGGAGCUUGCUCCUUUGACGUUAGCGGCGGACGGGUGAGUAACACGUGGGUAACCUACCUAUAAGACUGGGAUAACUUCGGGAAACCGGAGCUAAUACCGGAUAACAUUUGGAACCGCAUGGUUCUACAGUGAAAGAUGGUUUUGCUGUCACUUAUAGAUGGACCCGCGCCGUAUUAGCUAGUUGGUAAGGUAACGGCUUACCAAGGCGACGAUACGUAGCCGACCUGAGAGGAUGAUCGGCCACACUGGAACUGAGACACGGUCCAGACUCCUACGGGAGGCAGCAGUAGGGAAUCUUCCGCAAUGGGCGAAAGCCUGACGGAGCAACGCCGCGUGAGUGAUGAAGGGUUUCGGCUCGUAAAACUCUGUUAUUAGGGAAGAACAAAUGUGUAAGUAACUGUGCACGUCUUGACGGUACCUAAUCAGAAAGCCACGGCCAACUACGUG
rnacentral:rRNA from 1 species